GCUACAUCAGAGCCACGUUUGCUUCUCUGCUUGGAUAGGUUUGCAUUUAUCAGAGGGAACAUUUUUUUUUGCCCUCUUUAAGAUGUCACCAGAUCAUACUCGGAGUGGCUCUUGAUUAGACAUUUCCUGUCUUGGUGGUUUAUCUGCGCAGUGAUUAAACAGGACUGUCUGAAGAGAGGGCUGCACCAAAUGUCACUUUCAGCUCUGAAACUCCUGAUCUGAUGACACUGUGUGGCCGGAAACGAGGGCGCCACGGAGAAGGGAGGAGGUGAAUGUGCUUCGGACAUCGGUCACGUACCAGGGCUGAGGUCUAUCACUGGACCCAGGAGGCCGAGAACAGCAGCGGGGGCAGAAUGACACUUAAGAA
rnacentral:lncRNA from 1 species